GUGUAGCCGGUGCUUUUCUGUCGGAACGUCAAAACAGCAAAGUAUUAAUUUACUGCCCUUCCUCCCAACUUAAAGUGCUUUACAAUCCGAAGACCUUCUUCACACACGCGGCAUGGCUAGGAUCAGGCUUUCGCCCAUUGUCCAAUAUUCCCCACUGCUGCCUCCCGUAGG
rnacentral:rRNA from 1 species